AGACUCUGCCUCAAAAAAAAAAAAAAAAAAAAAAAAAAUUCAGUGUCCCCCACUAAGAAACAUUGUGAAACUAUACAAAUGGUUCUCUUAUCACCCAUGUAUAUUACCUUUUGUCUGCAUGCUUCUACGUCUAUGUACUUAGUUGAGUCUCAGUCUCUGUGAGUUCAUCGAGCAAUUUCACAUGGAUGCAGAGAGUGAGAUGAUUGAUAAUGGAGACUCUGAAGGGUGAGGGGGUGGGAGGGAAGGGAUGAUGGGAAAUUGGUUAAUAAAUUCAAUGUUUAUUACUCCGGUGAUGGAUACCCUAAAUGUCCUGACUUGACCACUGCACAUAUCUAUGAGUGUAUCCAAAUUCCACAUGUAUUCCAUAAAUUUGUACAAAAAAUAAUAAAUCACAUUUUAUUGAUGAUAAAUACUGUUUAUAAAUUAUAUCAUUUGUAAUAAAAUAUUUUAUAACAACGCAUUUUAUGUAAAAUAAAUUCUUUAUAAAUUAUCAUUUGUUUAUUUGUAUAAGUAAAUGGCACUCACACAACGUCCAUCUUGGGAGGAUGAUGGACCCUGGCUCCAGGAAUAUUUCCUCUGAGUCCUGCAUUCCCCUCUUGGACCCAAAGCGAGUGGAUCCCAGUCUGGAGGAGGAAGAGCUGGUGGACAACCCUGGAGUUCUGUGACCAGUAGAACCCUCGACAGGGUCCCGGGAGGCCGCAGAGUUGAGGUUUCCUCUCUUUGUGCCCAAAGAGAAGCAGAUUGCUAGCAUUAGAGCCUGGCCUGGACUUGUGCCUAGGGUUUGCCUUGCUUUUGGUGGCCCUGGGCCCCCAAGUUAGAAUUACAGGUCUCUGCUUGGGUGACUCUCUAGGAAUGUGACUCAAAGGAGGGACAACAGUGCCUCCAAAGAGACAAUUGGUCCUGGUCCCUGGGUCACCAUGGGGUCCUCCGUCUAGAGGAGCCCCACCUGUUCAGGCGGAAGCUUCCCCCAUAGGAUGUGUGGUGCUCAGACCUCUCUCCUUCCGGCUGAGCUGCUGACUGACACAAAGUUGGAACUCAGAUCUGGGGUCACCAGUCUGCUCCCAGAGCCCAUGGGUGCCGCUAAAACUGCCAACCUCAAGGAACUGGGCUUGUGCUGCCCAACGUGGAGCAGGGCUGCUCAGUGUGGGGCCGAACACUGUUCCCAAUGCUGGGGGCGUAAGAAGCAGCUACAGAGCCAGAGGCAGUGGGGGAACCAGGGUGAUGAAGGAGGGACAACAAAGAACAUCUGGGUGCUUGCUAGUGGGGGUGACCAAGAUGGAAUUUGUAGAUGAUGAACCUCCAAAGCUGAGUGUGUUUUGGGCUGCCCUGGCAGGUGGGCCCUGGAGCAGAGGUUAGGGCUAGAGCUGGAGCUGGGCUACCAGAUCUCCAAACUGGAAACAGCAGUCAGAGGUGGGGGCUGCAUGCUGCUGUCCAUCAAGGACUCCCAGGACAGGCUGAAUGGUGCCUGAAGGGUUCCUGGGAAGUUUUAUGAUUGGGGUGGAGCUGCAAGACCUCAGUGCAGAAGGCUCGUGGUGUCCCUGGUGGAGGCCUUGCUGUCACUGGGGUACGUCUGAAGGGCCUGCGCAGAUGGGGAGAAGCUCACACUGGGGCCAACAUAAGGCCUUGCAAGGAAAGGCUGGGAAAGGGGAGUGGUGUCCAUGGGGGUGACCUCAAAGUCAGGGGCUGGCAGUCAAUGUAUAUUGCUCAGUGAGAUAAGUCAGUCUGAAAAAGCUGCCUUCUCCACGACUCUUAGUGCAUAAUAUUCUGAGAAAGAAAACUAGAGAGACAGUAAAUAGGACAGUUUUCUCUUAAAAAUGGGACACUGAUCCAACCAGAAUCAUGAUAACUGAAUGAACUCCACUGACUUUCCACAGUACUUUCCAUUGAUUGCUUAUCUGGAUGAACUCGGUUGUGUGGCCAGUUGUGGACUUUUCUGACCCACUGCGUUGGUCCAGCAAUAGAAUAGACUGUGCUGACGUUUCAGGUACUACUCUCUGAUCUUGGAUGGAACAUUGCUUCCAAAUGUAUUACAGGAGAGACAACUAUUGAUAUCUUGCUGCCAGAAUUCCAUAGAGAAAUUCUUAGUAAUUUAGUUAGAGUUCAAACUUUGGAGCCCCUGUUGAAACAACUCCACAGGAAGCCACCUGAAUCUGAGUUGGGCUCUAGGAAGAGCUUGCAGUUCGGGUUGCACUGAAAACCCAGCAGACUGAUGUCUGGGAAAAUACCUGCCUUUAUAUGAGGCUUUAGAGAGAGGCAGCAUAUCCUAAGUGAGCAACAGCACAGCGCCUGGAGCCUCACUAGCUGGGUUCAAAUCCCACUGAGGAGCUCUACGUACCUGGCCAUGUUGUAUAGACCUCUCUAUGCCUCAGUGCCUGGUUUUCAGAGGUUCAAAAGUUAAUAUGGUCUCUGUUAUGCUUUAAGGCUAAACAUGGUUGAAUUCAGGUAAAGUCUUAAAUAGACUAGUUCCUUCUAAGUGCACUGAAGUAUCCACUCAUUAAAUGUUCCAAAGAACAAGCCAGACUCUUGGUAGUGGUUGAAUGCAGACGAAGAGCUGGCAUGGCUUUAGGGAAGUGAAAGACAGAGACUCACUUCGUUCUUUACCUGGGGUGAUCCUUUCCCUCUCAUGGAACAUAUCUGGGCUGGGUGCACGUGAUUCAUACCUGUAACAUUUUGGAAGAUGUGGUUGAUCCCAGAGGACCUCACAUCUAACACAGUCUCCUUCAGGUUUCCACACCUGACCCAAAAUAUGACAGUUUCCUCCAAACCAAGCCUCUGUAAAGGAUAAGUUCAAUGGUGUGCCCUCCUCCACCAGUAUCUUCGCACUGGCAAGGGGCUCGUGGUGAGCCUCCAUGGCCUGUUGACUACUCCAAGUGCCCAGGGGUCAGCUUCGCUCCCAAGCUCCCUUGGUUCCCUUCCACUGACCAGGCCUGGAUGAGCAAGAAUGGGAAUUAUCUAGGGAUGUGGGCCUCUGAGUAGUUGCUUCAGUGCAAGAAUGAGUGAAGACAGUGACCCCCACUGUCUCACUGACCGUAAUUCCAAUAGCAAUGAGAUCAGGGUGAACUUAGUCACUGCCUAAGAAGGGCAGUGAAUGCACCUGCACAGAGUGAGCACCUUCCUGCUCAUAUCCUUCCUCACCAGGACUCAGUUUCUACAAACUCCUCAUGCCUCCUAGGCCCUGCAGGGGUGGAGGAAACUUCCUCUCCAAAUUCUGGAGGGAAAAGCCAUCAUUUGCAUGUUUCAAGCUCAUAGUUUUACAGUUCUGUCAUCCUUAAGGAGAAUUCGUCCUCAUCCAUUCUCUCCAUCUGUAGGGGAAGCAUUCUAAUCAACUGGACUUUGGUUCUAUGUUUGUAGGUCAGGAGUUGUGGUCAUGGGCUGCAGUACCAUGUUUGGCCAGGAUUGGGACUCAUACAUAGUGUGUCCGAAAUUGCUGGGUUCUUGGUCUCGCUGACUUCAAGAAUGAAGUCCCAGACCCUCGCGGGUGACAGAUGGAACAAAAGACAACAUGCUAAUCGGCGCAUCGCCUUGGUGACAGGUCACCCAGGGAUGAUGAAACACACAACACAGCCUGGCUCUGGGUUCCGACUGUUCCAAUCCACACAUGUGUAUUGCUACAGGUACAAGGGUGUGGUUUCUAGCACCUGUUUUGUUUCAAAACAGGAUCAUUCCCUCCACACUAUUAUUUUCUAUUUAUGAAAACAAGUUACAGGAGAAAAGGGACCUGCCCUGUCCUAUAUAGUUGACAGUGUGGACACACACAAAGCGAACAUUUGAAAAUAAAAAGUUCCUUCUAUUUGUUAUUGUGACAUGGGUAACGUGCUGUUGUAAAAAAAAUUUGGAGGCGGCACAUCUCACAUGUGUCCGUGAAAAUUCAAUCAUCAUGCUGGUGAACUACAGAAGGAUCUGCCAUUGCAUUCUUCAUUAGAAAAGCCAUGCUUCUGUAUCUCUGCUGUUACUGAGUCACCAGACAUUUGUAGGUGUGCUACUUUAACAAUUUCUUAAGAUCGAAUAAAAAACACAUAGUAGAAAUGUAAUUUAAGAAAUUCAGUGUUCCUCACUAAGAAACAUUGUGAAACUAUAGAAAUGGUUCUCUUAUCACCCAUGUACAUUACCUUUGUCUGCAUGCUACUAAGUCUAUGUACUAAGUUAUGUCUCAGUCUCUGUGAGUUCAUUGAGCAAUUUCACAUGGAUGCAGAGGGUGGGAUGAUAGAUAAUGGAGACUCUGAAGGGUGAGGGGUGUGGAGGGAAGGGAUGAUGGGAAAUUGCUUAAUAAAUUCAAUGUUCAUUUCUCUGGUGAUGGAUACCCCAAGUGCCUCAACUUGACCACUGCACGAUCUAUGAUUGUAACAAAAUUGCACACAUAUCCCAUAAAUUUGUACAAAUAAAAAGAAAUUAAAAAAUGGCACUCAACACAAGUUUUAUCCUGGGAGGAUGAUGGACCCUGGCUCCAGGAAUAUUUCCUCUGAGUCCUGCAUUCCCCUCUUGGACCCAAAGCGAGUGGAUCCCAGUCUGGAGGAGGAAGAGCUGGUGGACAACCCUGGACUUCUGUGACCAGUAGAACCCUCGACAGGGUCCCGGGAGGCCGCAGAGUUGAGGUUUCCUCUCUUUGUGCCCAGAGAGAAGCAGGUUGCUAGCAUUAGAGCCUGGCCUGGACUUGUGCCUAGGGUUUGCCUUGCUUUUGGUGGCCCUGGGCCCCCAAGUUAGAAUUAGAGGUCUCUGCUUGGGUGACUCUCCAGGGAUGUGACUCAAAGGAGGGACAACAGUGCCUCCAAAGAGACAAUUGUUCCCAGUCCCUGGGUCACCAUGGAGUCCUCUGGUUAGGGGAGCCCCACCUGUUCAGGCGGAAGCUUCCCCCAUAGGGUGUGUGGUGCUCAGACCUCUCUCCUUCCGGCUAAGCUGCUGACUGACACAAAGUUGGAACUCAGAUCUGGGGUCACCAGUCUGCUCCCAGAGCCCAUGAGUGCCGCUAAAACUGCCAACCUCAAGGAACUGGGCUUGUGCUGCCCAACGUGGAGCAGGGCUGCUCAGUGUGGGGCCGAACACUGUUCCCAAUGCUGGGGGCGUAAGAAGCAGCUACAGAGCCAGAGGCAGUGGGGGAACCAGGGUGAUGAAGGAGGGACAACAAAGAACAUCUGGGUGCUUGCUAGUGGGGGUGACCAAGAUGGAAUUUGUAGAUGAUGAACCUCCAAAGCUGAGUGUGUUUUGGGCUGCCCUGGCAGGUGGGCCCUGGAGCAGAGGUUAGGGCUAGAGCUGGAGCUGGGCUACCAGAUCUCCAAACUGGAAACAGCAGUCAGAGGUGGGGGCUGCAUGCUGCUGUCCAUCAAGGACUCCCAGGACGGGCUGAGUGGUGGCUGAAGGGUUACUGGGAAGUUUAAUAGUUGGGGCGCAGCUGCAAGACCUCAGUGCUGGAGGCUCGUGGUGUCCCUGGUGGAGGCCUUGCUGCCACUGGGGUAUGUCUGAAGGGCCUGGGCAGAUGGGAAGUUUAAGGUCCCCUAAGCUGGCCGCACCAUGGUCAAGCCAUCGUGACAUUCCCCCGCCCUUGUGAUAAUGUACUUUGUGAUAUUCCCCUUCCUUGUGAAUGUGCUCUGUAACAUUCCUCCCCGCCCUGUGACAAUACACCCUCCCCAGCUUUGUGAAUGUACUUUAUAACAUCCUCCCUGCCCUUGAGAAUGUACAUCCAUCCCCUGCACACAAAAAAUUGCUCCUGACUCCACCACCUAUCCCAAACCUGUAAGAACCAAUGAUAAUCUCACCACCCUUUGCUGACUCUUUUUUUGGACUCAGCUCACUUGCAUCCAAGUGAAUAAACAGCCCUGUUGCUCACACUAAACCUGCUCAGGUGGUCUCUUACAAGGAUGCAUGUAACAUUUGGUGCUGAAGACCCAGGACAGAACUCCUUCGGGAGACCAGUCCCCUGUCCUCACGCUCCCUCCAUGAGGAGAUCCACCUACGACCUCAGGUCACCGGACCAGCCAGCCCGAAGACCAUCUCACCAAUUUCAAAUCGGUAAGUGGUUCUUCGCACUUGGGUAAGGGUUUUUUUCGCUGUCUACCUAGCCUCUGUUGACUCCCUUCAAUCUCUAUCCUUUCAAUUUCAGUUUCCCUUUCUGGUAGAGACAAAAAGGAGACACAUUUUAUCCAUGCAUUCAAAAACUCCGAUGUCAGUCACGGACUUGGAAAGAUGGUCUUCCCUUGGUGUCUGAUCACCGUGGGGAUGCCUGCCUUGAUCAUUCAUCCACAUUCCAUUGGUGGCAGGUCAAUUGCGGGGACUCCUGUUUUGGCUGCUCACCCACUUUACAGCCCAAGACAAAAUUAGGGAUGCCUACUGGAAGCCUGGUAGCUGUUCACCUCUGUUUCUCUGUGUCUCUACCUUCCUCUUUAAACUUACCUUCUUCACUAUGGGCAACCUAACCCCAUCCAUUCCUCCCUCUUCCCCCUUAGCCUGUGUUCUUAAAAACCUAAAACCCCUUUGACUAACACCUGACCUAAAAUCUAAACGUCCUAUUUUCUUCUGUAAUACCGCCUGGCCCCAAUACAAACUUGACAGUAGUUCCAAGUGGCCAGAGAGUGGCACUUUUGAUUUGUCUAUCCUACAAGACCUAGAUAAUUUUUGUCAAAAAUUAGGCAAAUGGUCUCAGGUGCCUUACAUCCAGGCAUGUUUUACACUUUGCUCCCUCCCUAGUCUCUGCUCCCAAUGCGACUCAUUCCAGAUUUUCCUUCUUUCUCUCCCGUCCGCUCCUUCGGUCUCCACCCCAAGCUCAGAGUCCUCCGAAUUCUCCUUUCCACUGACCCCUCUGACCUCUUCUCCUCAUCCCCGGCCACCCUUUGCCAGGCUGAAUCGGGCCCCAAUUCUUCUGCAGCCUCUGCUCCCCUCACCCUAUAACCCUUCUAUUACCUCCCUCCUCACACCAGGUCUGGCUCACAGCUUCAUUCCAUGACUAGCUCUCCCGUACCUGCCCAAAAAUGUCCUCUUAGAGAGGUGGCUGGAGCUGAAGGCACAGUCAGGGUACAUGUGCCUUUUUCUCUAUCAGACCUUUCCCAGAUCAGCCAGCUUUUAGGCUCUUUCUCAUCCGACCUCCCACUAAAUACAUAUGGGAAUUCCAAUAUCUCAGUCCUACAAUUUAACCUGGCGUGACUUAAAUGUCAUCCUGACCUCUACCAUCUCCCCAGAUGAACGAGAAAGAGUUUAUUUUCUAGCCCAGCCCUAUGCAGACAGCCGCCAGCUUCAUGAGCCAGGCCUCCAAGAGGACACCAGGGCAGUUCCCCAAGAGGAUCCCCAUUGGCAAUACCAGAUGGACUCCCCAGGUAUAGCUAGGCGAGAUUACAUGGUCUCCUGUCUAGUCGAGGGGCUCAAAAACGCAGCAUACAAAGUUGUUAAUUAUGACAAGCUAAAAGAAACAACCCAAGGUAAAGAUAAAAACCUAGCCCACUUCAUGGCCCACUUAGCAGCUACCCUUAGACGCUUUACAGUCCUAGACCUAGAGAGACCAGAAGGCCACCUUAUCCUUAAUAUUCAUUUUAUCACCCAAUCCUCUCCUUACAUUAGAAAAAAACUCCAAAAGUUGGAUUCUGGCCCUCAAACCCCACAACAGGAUUUAAUCAACCUCACCUUCAAGGUGUUCAGUAACAGAAAAGAAGCUGCCAAGUGGCAAUGUAUCUCUUAGUUACAGCUACUUGCCUCCACUGUAAGACAACCCACAACCACAUCUUCAGCAUAGAAAACAGAACAUCCAAGCCACAGCUCCCAGGGGCUCCUUCAAAACCUCCUCCUGGACCUUGCUUCAAAUGUCAAAAGCCUGGCCACUGGGCCUCAGAAUGCCCGCAGCCCAGGAUUCCUCCUAGGCCAUGCCUUGUUUGUGCGGGCCUCCACUGGAGGUCAGACUGUCCAACUCACAUCGUCGCCACUCCUAAAGCUCCUGGAGCUCACAUCCAAUGUUCUCUGGCUGACUGCUUCCCAGAUCUCGUUGGCUUAGUGGCUGAAGACUGAUGCUGCUCAAUCGCCUCGAAAGCCCCCUGGACCAUCAUGGAUGCUGAGCUCUGGGUAACUCUCACAGUGGAGGGUAAAUCCUUCCCCUGUUUAAUCAAUUCGGGGGCUACCCACUCCACGUUACCUUCUUUUCAAGGGCCUAUUUCCCUUGCCCUGUAACUGUUGUGGGUAUUGACGGCAAGGCUUCUAAACCUCUUAAAACUUCCCAACUCUGGUGCCAACUUGGACAACAUUCUUUUAUUCACUCUUUAUUAGUUAUCCCCAACUGCCCAAUUCCCUUAUCAGGCCAAGACAUUUCAACUAAAUCUUCUGCUUCCUUGACUAUUCCUGGACUACAGCCACAUCUCAUUGCUGCCUUUUUGCCCGAUUCAAGGCCUCCUUUGAAUCCUCCUCUCAUGUCUCCCUACCUUAAUCCACAAGUGUGGGAUACCUCUACUCCCUCCUUGGCAACCAAUCAGGCACCCCGUUACCAUCCCAUUAAAACCUCAUCACCCUUACCCUGCUCAGCAUCAGUACCCCAUCCCAUAACAGGCUUUAAGAGGACUAAAGCUUGUUAUCACUCACCUGUUACAAUAUGGCCUUUUAAAGCCUACAAAUUCUCCUCACAAUUCCCCUACCCUACCUGUCCAGAACCAGACAAAUCUUACAGGUUGGUUCAGGAUCUUUGCCUUAUUAACCAAAUUGUCUUACCUAUCCAUCCUGUGGUGCCAAACCAUAUACUCUCCUAUCCUCAAUACCUCCCCCUCCACAACUCAUUAUUCUGUCCUCGACCUCAAAGAUGCUUUCUUCACUAUUCCUUUGCACCCCUCAUCAAGGGACUUUCACAUGGACUGACCCUGACACCCACCAAUCUCAGCAACUCACCUGGACUGUACUGCCGCAAGGCUUCAGAGACAGCCCCCGUUACUUUAGUCAAGCUUUCUCAUGAUCUACUUUCUUUCCAUCCAUCUGUUUCUCACUUUAUUCAAUAUAUGGACGACCUUCUCCUCUGCCGCCCCUCUUAUGAAUCUUCCCAACAGGACACCCUCCUGCUCCUUCAACAUCUAUUCUCAAAGGGGUAUCACGUAUCCCCCUCUAAAGCCCAAAUUUCUUCCCCGUUACCUGUCUCGGCAUAGUCCUUCAGCAAAACACACAUGCUCUCCCUGCUAAAUCGUGUCCAGCUAAUCUCUGAAAUCCCAACCCCUUCUACAAAGCAACAACUCCUUUCCUUCCUUGGUGUGGUUGGAUACUUUCGCCUUUGGAUAGCAGGUUUUGCGGUCCUAACUAAACCACUAUAUAAACUCACAAAGGGAAACCUGACUGAUCCCAUAGACCUUAAGUCCUUUCUUCUUUUUGUUCCUUAAAGACAUCCCUAGAAACAGCUCCCACAUUAGCACUGCCUAACUUGUCCCAAUCUGUCUUCUUACAUAGGCUGAAAUACAAAGUUAUGCAGUCAAGAGUUCUUACACAGGAACCAGACCCACAACCUGUAGCCUUCCUACCCAAACAACUUAACCUCACAGUUCUAGGCUGGCCCUCAUGUCUACGUGUGGUGGCAGCCACCACUUCGAUACUUCUAGAGGCCCUCGAGAUCACAAACCAUGCCCCACUUACCCUCUACAGCUCUCAUAACUUUCAAAAUCUAUUUGCUUCCUUAUACUUGGCACAUAUAUUUUCUGCCCCCACUGACUCCUCCAACUAUACUCACUAUUGGUUGAAACUCUCACAAUUACCAUUGCUCCUGGCACAGACUUCAACCUGGUCUCUCACCUUACACCUAGCACCAAACCUGAACCUCAUAACUGUAUCUCUCUAAUCUAUAUGGCAUCCUCCCCAUUUCCCCAUAUUUCCCUCUUUCCUGUUCCUAAUCGCUGGGAACAAGCCCCCCAAAUCUGGCCAUAAACAGGCCAUGAGAAACUGGCCAUAAACAAAAUCUCUGCAUCACUGUGACAUGCUCGUGAUGGCCAUGACGCCCACGCUGGAGGCUGUUGGUUUACCGGAAUGAGGGCAAGGAACACCUGGCACACCCAGGUUGGAAAACCGCUUAAGGCGUUACUAAACCACGGACAAUAGCAUGAGCAGUGUGUGCCUUAAGAACAUGCUCCUGCUGCAGAUAACAAACCAGAGCAUGUCCCUUUGUUUCCCAUAAGGAAUGCUUUUAGCUAACCUAUAAUCUACAGAAAUAAUCCUUAUCACUGGCUUGCUGUCAACAAAUAUGUGGGUCAAAUUCUGUUCAUGGCUCUCAGCUCUGAAGGCUAUCAGCCCUCCUGAUUCCCACUCUGCAUUCUAUUUAUGUGUCUUUGUCUUAAUUCCUCUAGUGCCUCUGGGUUAGGUUCUCCACAACCAAGCUGGUCUCGGCACCUAAUCCAGACCACACUUGGUUUAUUGAUGGUAGUUCUUCAAGGCCCAGUCGUCAGCCACCAGCAAGGGUAGGCUAUGCUGUAGUGUCUUCCACAUCUUGUCAUUGAAGCUACUUCCCUGCCCUCUUCCACCACCUUUCAUGACUCUCAACAAGUUGAACUCAUUGCUUUAACCUGGGCUCUCACACUUGCAAAGGGACUACGUGUCAAUAUCUACACUAAUUCCAAGUAUGUCUUCCACAUCCUACAUCACCAUGCUGUUAUAUGAGCAGAAAGAGGUUUUCUCGCUACACAAGGGUCCUCCCCAUCAUCAACACUUC